GAGGGACCAUAGCUCAGUAACAGAGCCCAUGCUUUGCAUGCAUAUAGACCCAGGUUCUAUUCCUGGUGUCCUCA